rnacentral:rRNA from 1 species
UUAGCGGCGGACGGGUGAGUAACACGUGGGUAACCUGCCUGUAAGACUGGGAUAACUCCGGGAAACCGGGGCUAAUACCGGAUACUUGUUUGAACCGCAUGGUUCAAACAUAAAAGGUGGCUUCGGCUACCACUUACAGAUGGACCCGCGGCGCAUUAGCUAGUUGGUGAGGUAAUGGCUCACCAAGGCAACGAUGCGUAGCCGACCUGAGAGGGUGAUCGGCCACACUGGGACUGAGACACGGCCCAGACUCCUACGGGAGGCAGCAGUAGGGAAUCUUCCGCAAUGGACGAAAGUCUGACGGAGCAACGCCGCGUGAGUGAUGAAGGUUUUCGGAUCGUAAAGCUCUGUUGUUAGGGAAGAACAAGUGCCGUUCAAAUAGGGCGGCACCUUGACGGUACCUAACCAGAAAGCCACGGCUAACUACGUGCCAGCAGCCGCGGUAAUACGUAGGUGGCAAGCGUUGUCCGGAAUUAUUGGGCGUAAAGGGCUCGCAGGCGGUUUCUUAAGUCUGAUGUGAAAGCCCCCGGCUCAACCGGGGAGGGUCAUUGGAAACUGGGGAACUUGAGUGCAGAAGAGGAGAGUGGAAUUCCACGUGUAGCGGUGAAAUGCGUAGAGAUGUGGAGGAACACCAGUGGCGAAGGCGACUCUCUGGUCUGUAACUGACGCUGAGGAGCGAAAGCGUGGGGAGCGAACAGGAUUAGAUACCCUGGUAGUCCACGCCGUAAACGAUGAGUGCUAAGUGUUAGGGGGUUUCCGCCCCUUAGUGCUGCAGCUAACGCAUUAAGCACUC